UACGUAGCAGCAAGCGUUGUUCGGAAUUACUGGGCGUAAAGAGUGUGUAGGCGGUGCUCUAAGUUUGGUGUGAAAUCUCCCGGCUCAACUGGGAGGGUGCGCCGAAAACUGGAAUGCUUGAACAUGGGAGAGGAAAGCGGAAUUCCUGGUGUAGCGGUGAAAUGCGUAGAUAUCAGGAGGAACACCUGCGGUGUAGACGGCUUUCUGGACCAUUGUUGACGCUGAGACACGAAAGCGUGGGUAGCAAACAGG
rnacentral:rRNA from 1 species